AUGUCGCCACAGCCAUCACCGUGUCCUCUCCAGUCUCCUCCAUCUCCAUCCGGAUAUCAAACGAAGAACUUUGAUGGUCUCAUGGAGGAUACUCUGAGAUCAUCAUGGGCAAUCAUGCAAUUGAAGAAGGAAAAGGAUAUCGUCACAUCUGAAACUGAUGAACAGGAUGGAGCUGGGAGGGAGGAGAAGCUGGAGCUGAGGCUACAUGGCUGCGACACUUGCUUACCACGGCCGACCGAUGUAGUAGAAAUUCGGCGGGUUAUCUUUGUAAAAGGCCAAUUGCCAUAUGACCUUGUUUGUAACGAGCUCUUAUGCUUGAUUCAUGUCAGGGGGUAUAUGCAUGUUAUUCUCAUGGUUUUGGUCAAUGGAAGUGAAGGCAUUAGCGCUGGAUCGAUCAGCUAUGUCCCAAGCUAUAAUCCGAGGGGCAUUACCGCUGAUAUGAAAAAGCUACUAAAUCGCGAGAAUGGCGUACGGAUGAAACCUUGGUACCAGGUGUGUAAGGCAAGUGCACCGGUGAGAGAUGAUGAGAACGAAACGCUCCAACUAAAGGAUCGUCUGGUUGCUCAUGAUCUCGACUUCUCCCGAGAAUAUGCGAGCUGCCUAGCUUAG
rnacentral:rRNA from 1 species